GUUGAGUUCAGCUAGGUGGUUCUUCUGUUCAUGAAGUAUCUACUGGGAUUGAGACAUCCAAGAAAACUUCUUAACCCCCAGGUUUGGUGCCUUGGCUGAGAUAAAUGGAAGAGCUGGGCCAUUCUCUCUCUUUCUCUGGCCUCUUCAGGUGGCUUCCUCACACUAUGAUGACAUCAGAGAACAUUCAGAUGGCUUCCAACUGAGAGGAAGAAGCUUCCAGUGCAUGUAGGGUCUGGGUUCAGAAUUGCCAGAACAUUACUUCUACUGCACUGUUGAUCAAAGCAAGUCACAAGACCAGCCCUGAGUCAGGGAAAGGAAGUACUUUCUACUUCUUGAUAGGAGGAGCAUUGCACACACUGGGAGAGAUGAAUUAACAAUGGUCCUCUUUGGAGACUACCUACCCCAGAGACCUGGGAUCCUGAACACAGGGCCUCAUGUGCAGGCCAGGCCAGUUAAACCGGAAACAUAAAGGAGCCGACAGCUUGCAGCUGCUCAGAGGGAAGGUUUGCUGGCACGGAGCACCCAUGAAAAGCAGAACCCUGAUCUUCCAGCCUGGGAGGCUGUAGCUGAGGUUCUGGGACCCUGACAGGUGCUGGGCUGCUCAUUCAGCUUUUCAUGGGCAGAGACAGGUCCCCGCUGGUCCUGGCCCCCUGCCCAAGCCCAGGAGGAAUGGAUGUGUUUUGGGUGGCAUCCUCCAGGACAGGAAGAAGCAGGGCUUUGUCCCCCGACCUUGGAGCACAGCCUGAAGCUCAGGGCAUAGCUCAAGCUUCUAUUGCGAGAAACCUGAUCCUGGGACUUGAACACUCUGCUCUUUGUGUUCUGCACAACAGGAUGGUCCUGCUACUUGCUCAGCUCAGUGUGUGUCCUGGCUUCAGCUUCCCUCCUAAGCACCUGACUGCUGGCAGGUUACUGUGACUUAUGGCCAUUAUAUCUGCUGGGCUUGUACUUCCAGCAUCUCACUGGCAUGGGCAUCUCACUGGCAUGGGCAUCUCCCAGGCAAGGGUUUCCAUGCAGAGGCUGCCAGGCCAGCAGGAGAGGAGACCUCUAGCCCAUCUGUCAGCACUGAAUAAUUUCAUCCGCACGUACUUCUCUUCCAAUCACCCAGGCUACUUUAGCUUCCCUGAACCACGCCAGCCAAAGACACUGGAUGACCUGCACCCUCUCACACAGGAUGCAUCUCCUCUAGUGCUUUGGGAGGUCCACCACACUGGUUUCUCUGUGAGGUCAUCUUUGCUGUGAUACUCUGGCCUCCUCCUGGUAACUUCACACAUUCUGGUUUGCCAGACUUCUGGAUGUGUUCAAUUAAGUCAAAACAUAAGGGCCUUCUGAGCAUUCAGCUCUGUGCUUCAAGCCAUGGAGGAUAAAAAAGUCCCUAGGGGAUGGCUAAGAGUUGUCCAAGGCUUGUCCACCCAAAGGGAGACCCAAAGAGAAAGAAUUCUACUGUCAGUUAGAUUGGGGAAUCUUGAUCCUUCAAAACAUAUAUUUUUAUGUGAAAGUUUCUGUGAUGUGAUGUCCUGUCAUAAACAAAAUCUGUUGCCUUUUUUUUUAAUCAUCCUUACUGACAUCUCAAGGAACUAAUGAAUGCUUUUGGAAUAUAAUUUAGGAAAUGAGUUAACUGGUCUUCAGCCUGCUGCUGCUGCUGCUAAGUCUCUUCAGUCGUGUCCGACUCUGUGCGACCCCAGAGACAGCAGCCCACCAGGCUCCCCUGUCCCUGGAUUCUCCAGGCAAGAACACUGGAGUGGGUUGCCAUUUCCUUCUCCAAUGUAUGAAAGUGAAAAGUGAAAGUGAAGUAGCUCAGCCAUGUCCAACUCCUAGCGACCCCAUGGACUGCAGCCUACCAGGCUCCCUCCUCUGUCCAUGGGAUUUUCCAGGCAAGAGUACUGGAGUGGGAUGCCUAAGGAAGUAUAAUCUCUAGGGAGCAUUUGGACACAGGCAGUAGCAUUUUGGGUUGUCAGAAAGAGAGGGAGGUGCUCCUGGCCUUAAUGUAUGGGGGAGGGGUAAUGCGACACUGCAGACAGUGACCCCAGCCUCACUAAGCCAAGAACAGUUCUGCCCCAAGUGUCCUGGGCACUCCCCACCCCGCUGACAAGCAGAGGCUGGACAAGUGCUCAGCACUGAGUCUCCCCACCGCAGCCUCCGCCACCCACAGGGUCUAACCCUUCCCGGCUAUCUCCUUGGUCCCUGGUCCCUUUCUUCCUCUUAUGGGGUGCCUUCCUGGCAUUACGGCAUCACAGGACAGAGUUCAUCUUUGGGUCUGGCAGAAGCAAGCAGAGAGCAGGGCUCCACAGUUCCAGAGUGGAUGAAAACAGGGUGCUCAAGUGGACCCGGGAGAUAAAAUGGAAGGGGCUCGUCUUCCUGAAAGUUCUUUCACCUCACCUCAUCUGGCAGAGAGAAGCCUGCCCCUGGCUCAAGCCAAGGAGAACACACCUGGCGCUUAGCCAAAGUCAGGUGACUUGAAAAGGAACGUGAGAUGGGCGGGUGCAGCCCUCCAUCCUUCCCGGUUAAAGGAGACACCAACUUCCACAGUCUGCAAAGUCGGGGGAUUCGGUCUGUGCCAGCUUCUAUCAAAACAGAAAACGCCCAUGGCAACCAGCAAGUGUUACCUGAGACCGCAGAGUGUGUUUCACAAAACAAGGGUGGCUCAUGAUAGUCACCCAGGGAGAUUCUGGCCCCGUGCCCACGAGGUGGCAGUUGGUGGGUGGGAUCUCUGCAGAGCUGG
ensembl:lncRNA